UACGGUAUUUGGUAUUACGGUUCCCCAGAUCAUCAAAAUCUGGGGCUAAGAGGGAAACCGGUGCGUCGCCCUGGCGACCAGUCCGGUGCUGCCCCCGCAACUGUCAGCGGAGAGCCGCCGUCCACCCGCGUCACUGAUGCCCUUGGGGUAUCGGGAAGACAGGACGGAAGCCUUGACCCGCAAGCCAGGAGACCUGCCGUAACACGAUGAAACGU
rnacentral:ncRNA from 2 species